rnacentral:guide_RNA from 1 species
CGAUGCAUAAUAAUCUAUGGUACAGUUGAUAUGAGUGAUAAU